AUGAACGCUGGCGGCGUGCCUAAUACAUGCAAGUCGAGCGAACGGACGAGAAGCUUGCUUCUCUGAUGUUAGCGGCGGACGGGUGAGUAACACGUGGAUAACCUACCUAUAAGACUGGGAUAACUUCGGGAAACCGGAGCUAAUACCGGAUAAUAUUUUGAACCGCAUGGCUCAAAAGUGAAAGACGGUCUUGCUGUCACUUAUAGAUGGAUCCGCGCUGCAUAAGCUAGUUGGUAAGGUAACGGCUUACCAAGGCAACGAUGCAUAGCCGACCUGAGAGGGUGAUCGGCCACACUGGAACUGAGACACGGUCCAGACUCCUACGGGAGGCAGCAGUAGGGAAUCUUCCGCAAUGGGCGAAAGCCUGACGGAGCAACGCCGCGUGAGUGAUGAAGGUCUUCGGAUCGUAAAACUCUGUUAUUAGGGAAGAACAUAUGUGUAAGUAACUGUGCACAUCUUGACGGUACCUAAUCAGAAAGCCACGGCUAACUACGUG
rnacentral:rRNA from 1 species